GAUGAACGCUGGCGGCGUGCCUAAUACAUGCAAGUCGAGCGAACGGACGAGAAGCUUGCUUCUCUGAUGUUAGCGGCGGACGGGUGAGUAACACGUGGAUAACCUACCUAUAAGACUGGGAUAACUUCGGGAAACCGGAGCUAAUACCGGAUAAUAUUUUGAACCGCAUGGUUCAAAAGUGAAAGACGGUCUUGCUGUCACUUAUAGAUGGAUCCGCGCUGCAUUAGCUAGUUGGUAAGGUAACGGCUUACCAAGGCAACGAUGCAUAGCCGACCGGAGAGGGUGAUCGGCCACACUGGAACGGAGACACGGUCCAGACUCCUACGGGAGGCAGCAGUAGGGAAUCGUCCGCAAUGGGCGAGAGCCUGGCGGAGCAACGCGGCGUGAGUGAUGAAGGUCUUCGGAUCGUAAAACUCUGUUAUUAGGGAAGAACAGAUGUGUAAGGAACUGUGCACAGCUUGACGGUACCUAAUCAGAAAGCCACGGCUAACUACGUG
rnacentral:rRNA from 1 species